UAUGAUGACUUGCAUCAUCCUCNAAACAUAGAAGAAAAGACCCCCCAACCAGGCUUCAGUACACCAUUGUGCACACUUAAGUCAAUAGCCUCCGAGACGCAAUGCAAGCCUCCAGGUGAGGAAGUUGCGCACAGCACAACCCUGGCAAUACUGAACAAGCUAUCAAGCUAUUCAUGGGAAGCAAAGGCAGUGCUGACUCUAGCAGCUUUUGCUAUGGAAUAUGGGGAGUUCUGGCUCCUUGCCCAGCUUCGCGAAUCGGACCGACUUGCCAAAUCAAUUGCAAUCCUGAAGCGAGUCCCUGUCCUCCUCAAGCACUCAGACCAGCACAAAAGAAGACAAGCAGUGCUUGAGCUUAACAAUCUGAUCAAGGCUACAUUGCAAGUGAUUGAGUGCAUCGAUCAGUUCGAUAAGCUUUCUAGCUAGGACCCGAAAGAUGUGCCGGGAUUAGCAAUUGCAAUGGACCAUAUUCCAGUGGAUGUGUAUUGGGCUAUUAUGACUGUUGUCGCUUGUGCAACUAAGGUCACUAUUCUCACCAGUGAUGAGGUCAAGGACCAUGAUCUAGCCCCGUUUGCUCAAAAAAUCCACUAUGUCCUAAACAAGCUUAAGAUCCAGCUAAUAGUUUGCAGAAAACAAAUUGAGGAGGCAGAGGCGUACCGGAGGAUAAGGAAAACCUUCCAAACUCCUACUGAGAUUAUGGAGGUUUUCAAGGCCCUCAUCUUUACCAAGGACAAUGUCCAGCCACUCAUUGAUGGUUCUACUAAACAAAUGGUCAAAAUCGAUAUAUUAAGGAGGAAGAAUGUGCUGUUGUUCAUUUCAAGCCUGGACAUCUCUGAUGAUGACAUUUCUAUCCUCAAACCCAUCUAUGAGUUCACCAAGAAAGGGAACCAGCAUAAGAUUGUCUGGGUUCCAGUUGUCGAGCACUGGACCGAUGACCUGCGAAAGAAGUUUGAGACCCUGAGGCGGAAGAUGCCAUGGUACACAGUGCAGAACCCUGCACCCAUAGCAGGAAUCAGGUUCAUCAAGGAGGAGUGGAACUUCAAGGGUAAGCCUGCACUGUGGUGAUGAACCCACAAGGAAAGGUCGAGCAUUCCAACGCUCUCCACAUGAUUCGGAUAUGGGGAGUUAAAGCCUUCCCUUUCACAAAGGCAACAGAAGAAGAACUCUCACAUUCUCACAGAGAUAGAUGGGUGGGCAAUGUAGUCCAAGACAUUCACCCAUCUCUUCCCAAUUGGAUCAAAGAGGAAAAAUACAUCUUCUUCUAUGGAGGCAAAGACAACGACUGGAUUCAGCAAUUCACAAAGAAAGCAAGUGCCCUCGCAAACGACCCCGUUUUCAAGGAAACAAAGAUUUACAUCGAGUUUUGUGUGGGGAAGGGAAGCAAAGGAGAAGAUGACCAUGGCAUUCUAGGACACUUCUGGUCCGGCAUAGAAAGCCUCUUCUUCACCAAGGGCCACAAGCAAGUCGACCCAGUCACUCAAGAAAUCCAGAAGCUGCUUUCUUACAAAAACGAAAGUGGAUGGGCUGUGCUCAGCAAAGGGUCUUCUGUGUUGCUCACUGGCCAUGGAGUCUCAAUCUUAAGGGUCAUAGAGGACUUUGAUAAAUGGAAGGACCAUGUGAAAGAGAAAGGCUUUGAGUUUUGUUUCAAAGCAUACCAUGAGAAUGUUCGUCUUGCAACUCGACCUUGCUGCCGCCUAGAUAUUCCAGGCUCUACCGGGAAGGUCCCGGACACAAUGAAAUGCCCAGAUUGCCACCGUAGCAUGGAGACUUUUAUCAGUUACAAGUGCUGCCACAUUGAUGGCCCUAAUGCACAUCAUUAAAUUAAGUUUAUGUGGCUAAUCAGUUAAUUAACUAGUAUA